AGCGAAGGUGAUAAGUCCACUGCCUGGGGAGUACGGUCGCAAGGCUGAAACUUAAAGGAAUUGGCGGGGGAGCACCGCAACCUGAGGAUUGUGCGGUUUAAUUGGAUUCAACGCCGGAAAACUCACCAGUGCCGACGGACAAAUGAAAGCCAGUGUGAUGAGCUUGCUGGAUUGUUCGAGAGGUAGUGCAUGGCCGCCGUCAGUUCGUACCGCAAGGCGUUCUGUUAAGUCAGAUAACGAACGAGACCCUCAUCCCUAUUUGCCAAGGUCUGUCCGCAGACCACGGGACUAUAGGGAGACCGCUGGCGCGAAGUCAGAGGAAGGCGAGGGCAACGGUAGGUCAGUAUGCUCCGAAUGCACUGGGCUACACGCGCAAUACAAAGGACGGGACAAUGGGCUGCUGCUCCGAGAGGAAUGAUGGCUAUCCCGAAACCCGUUCGUAGUUCGGAUCGAGGGCUGUAACUCGCCCUCGUGAAGCUGGAUUAGGUAGUAAUCGCGUCUCAAAAAGGCGCGGUGAAU
rnacentral:rRNA from 1 species